rfam:Salinispora tropica CNB-440, complete genome.
CGUGCCGACCCGCUCAAUCACCGAAAGGUGAACCGGGGACCCGUUCUAUCUGGGGUGAAUCCGCGAGUCUCGCGGUAGGGCGUACUUCCCGUCCGAAUCCGUCAGCUAACCCGGUCAGCGGUAUCGGAAGGAGUC